rnacentral:lncRNA from 1 species
AAGAAGCCUUUCGGUAAGCCUGUUCUUGUGGAAUUUGCAAAGUGAUAUUUCGAUGCCCAUAGAGGGCUUCGUUGAAAAAGGAAAUAUCCUCAGAUGAAAUCUGGAAAGAAGCUUUCUGAGAAACUGCUUAGUGUUCUGUUAAUUCAUCUCACAGAGUUACAGCUUUCCCCUCAAGAAGCCGUUCGCUAAACCUGUUCUUGUGGAAUUCGCAAAGUGAUAUUUGGAAGCCCAUAGAGGGCUAUUGUGAAAAAGAAAAUAUCCUCAGAGAAAACCUGGAAAGAAGCUUUCUGAGAAACUGCUUUGUGAUGUGUGACUUACACUCACAGAGUUACAUCUGUAUUUCGUGGAUCCUCUCACUAUUCUUUUCUGACUCAGUCUCCCCAGUCUUCCCUCUGGCCAUGGUGCUGACCAAGUCAGCAGGGAGCUGGGUCUCUAGAUGGUGCUCCAGAUCUUUGGGACUGACCAAAGCGUCUCUGCUGAGAGGUCCCAGACCAGGAGGUGCCAGGGCUGAUGGCGACGGCAUGCAGCAUGCUCAGGAGGCAGGUGGUGCCGUUGGAGAGGUCCCUCAUCACCCUGUUCAUGUGGAAAAGCAUCUUACACUUGAAGUCAGUUUGAAAAUUCAGUGACUCAAAAAUGUCUUCAGACACAAGAACACAAUGGUGAGCAGCAUCACGAUAUGCACAAAGGCCAAGUGACUGGUAGUCAGGUCAGUAGGCUUCAGCCUGUGAUCCACAAGAACUGUGAACACACGGAAGAAAAGGAGGAAGGCAUUGGCUGAGACUCCAAUACCAGCUUGGGAAAAGAAGACAUUUUUUAAUGAUACUAUAGGUAGCAAGUGUGUUCAUCUUCAUUGAAAAUAGGAAACAUUUUAUAUAUCUGAAACAAAAAGAAAUAAAACUCCUGCAUCAAUGUUAUUUAUUCCAUAGUAAAAAUUAUCACCAGCAUGAUUUUAAUUCCAAUCAUUUAUCUUGAUUAAUCUUGAGUAGCUCAUAUAAUUUCUUAAAAAUAUGAUCUGGAAAUGAUUUUAUACACCCAAUUGUUAAUACAAUGCAUCAAGGACUCACAUGUGAACAAUUAGAGGUAUAGUCACAUUGUCCUGUACUAAGAAUCAUUCGUUUAGAAAACUUUUUUACUUUCUUUUAUUCAAUGUUAAUGACAAAUAGUGAGUGCAUGUAAAAAUAAAUCACGUGUGUUUCUGCAAGUGAACUGAAGUACAUUUUAUGCUAAUAGAGGAAGAAUAACCAAAAACAUCUUGGAAAAAAUGACCCAUUAAGUGGAUGUUAAAUCAUAGUACUCUGACAAUUGUUCUUUCUCACUCAUUUAAGUACACUUGCAAUUGUGUGGGGUCUACCCUAAUAAUGCAGGAUAAUUUCUCUAUUACGAUUUCAGCUGCUUAUUAAUGUGUAUACCCUCUUCACCUUAAUUCCCUUAUGUUAUAUUACCUAAUAUAUUCACAGGUUCUGGAUAUUAGAAUGCGGACAUGUUUUUACUAACUCUACCUCCCACAGUGGUCCCAGUUCCC